GAUGAACGCUGGCGGCGUGCCUAAUACAUGCAAGUCGAGCGAACAGACGAGGAGCUUGCUCCUCUGACGUUAGCGGCGGACGGGUGAGUAACACGUGGAUAACCUACCUAUAAGACUGGGAUAACUUCGUGAAACCGGAGCUAAUACCGGAUAAUAUAUUGAACCGCAUGGUUCAAUAGUGAAAGACGGUUUUGCUGUCACUUAUAGAUGGAUCCGCGCCGCAUUAGCUAGUUGGUAAGGUAACGGCUUACCAAGGCAACGAUGCGUAGCCGACCUGAGAGGGUGAUCGGCCACACUGGAACUGAGACACGGUCCAGACUCCUACGGGAGGCAGCAGUAGGGAAUCUUCCGCAAUGGGCGAAAGCCUGACGGAGCAACGCCGCGUGAGUGAUGAAGGUCUUCGGAUAGUAAAACUCUGUUAUUAGGGAAGAACAAAUGUGUAAGUAACUAUGCACGUCUUGACGGUACCUAAUCAGAAAGCCACGGCUAACUACGUG
rnacentral:rRNA from 1 species